UACACCGGGGAUGCUCACUACGGCGAGUGAAGCGGCAAAGCUCAAAUUUGAAAUCUGGCACUUUCAGUGUCCGAGUUGUAAUUUGUAAAAAUAGUUUUGGGGCUGGUCCUUGUCUAUGUUCCUUGGAACAGGACGUCAUAAAGGGUGAGAAUCCCGUGUGGCGAGGAUCCCAGUUCUUUGUAAAACGCUUUCGAAAAGUCGAGUUGUUUGGGAAUGCAGCUCUAAGUGGGUGGUAAAUUCCAUCUAAAGCUAAAUAUUGGCGAAAGACCGAUAGCGAACAAGUACAGUGAUGGAAAGAUGAAAAGAACUUUGAAAAGAGAGUGAAAAAGUACGUGAAAUUGUUGAAAGGGAAGGGCAUUUGAUCAGACAUGGUGUUUGGACGCCCUGCGCUCCUUGUGGGUGCAGGACACCCUUUUCACUGGGCCAACAUCGGUUUUGGCAGCAGGAUAAAUCGUUAGGAACGUAACUGCCCUCGGGUAGUGUUACAGCCUGGCGGAAUACUGCUAACCGGGACUGAGGACUGCGUCUUUUGACAAGGAUGUUGGCAUAAUGGUUAAAUGCCGCCCGUCUUGAAAACGGGACCAAA
rnacentral:rRNA from 1 species